AACGAGGUAGCCAAGCGGUCGAAGGCGCCGGUUUGCAAGUCCGGUGAGCGUUGCUCCACAUGGGUCCGAAUCCCAUCCUCGUUUCCA
rnacentral:tRNA from 1 species